rnacentral:rRNA from 1 species
GACGAACGUUGGCGGCGUGCUUAACACAUGCAAGUCGAACGGAAAGGCCCUGCUUUUGUGGGGUGCUCGAGUGGCGAACGGGUGAGUAACACGUGAGUAACCUGCCCUUGACUUUGGGAUAACUUCAGGAAACUGGGGCUAAUACCGGAUAGGAGCUCCUGCUGCAUGGUGGGGGUUGGAAAGUUUCGGCGGUUGGGGAUGGACUCGCGGCUUAUCAGCUCGUUGGUGGGGUAGUGGCUUACCAAGGCUUUGACGGGUAGCCGGCCUGAGAGGGUGACCGGCCACAUUGGGACUGAGAUACGGCCCAGACUCCUACGGGAGGCAGCAGUGGGGAAUAUUGCACAAUGGGCGGAAGCCUGAUGCAGCAACGCCGCGUGCGGGAUGACGGCCUUCGGGUUGUAAACCGCUUUCGCCUGUGACGAAGCGUGAGUGACGGUAAUGGGUAAAGAAGCACCGGCUAACUACGUGCCAGCAGCCGCGGUGAUACGUAGGGUGCGAGCGUUGUCCGGAUUUAUUGGGCGUAAAGGGCUCGUAGGUGGUUGAUCGCGUCGGAAGUGUAAUCUUGGGGCUUAACCCUGAGCGUGCUUUCGAUACGGGUUGACUUGAGGAAGGUAGGGGAGAAUGGAAUUCCUGGUGGAGCGGUGGAAUGCGCAGAUAUCAGGAGGAACACCAGUGGCGAAGGCGGUUCUCUGGGCCUUUCCUGACGCUGAGGAGCGAAAGCGUGGGGAGCGAACAGGCUAGAUACCCUGGUAGUCCACGCUGUAAACGGUGGGUACUAGGUGUGGGGUCCAUUCCACGGGUUCCGUGCCGUAGCUAACGCUGUAAGUACCCCGCCUGGGGAGUACGGCCGCAAGGCUAAAACUCAAAGGAAUUGACGGGGCCCCGCACAAGCGGCGGAGCAUGCGGAUUAAUUCGAUGCAACGCGUAGAACCUUACCUGGGUUUGACAUGGAUCGGGAGUGCUCAGAGAUGGGUGUGCCUCUUUUGGGGUCGGUUCACAGGUGGUGCAUGGCUGUCGUCAGCUCGUGUCGUGAGAUGUUGGGUUAAGUCCCGCAACGAGCGCAACCCUUGUUCACUGUUGCCAGCACGUUAUGGUGGGGACUCAGUGGAGACCGCCGGGGUCAACUCGGAGGAAGGUGGGGAUGACGUCAAGUCAUCAUGCCCCUUAUGUCCAGGGCUUCACGCAUGCUACAAUGGCUGGUACAGAGAGUGGCGAGCCUGUGAGGGUGAGCGAAUCUCGGAAAGCCGGUCUCAGUUCGGAUUGGGGUCUGCAACUCGACCUCAUGAAGUCGGAGUCGCUAGUAAUCGCAGAUCAGCAACGCUGCGGUGAAUACGUUCCCGGG